UAUUGUGCAAUGGAGGGAACUCUGACGCAGCGACGCCGCGUGAGCGAUGAAGGCCUUCGGACCGUAAAGCUCUGUUCUUGGGGAAGAAGGGAGCCGUAAGGCUUCUUGACGGUACACAUGGAGGAAGCUCCGGCCAAGCACGUGCCAUCAGCCGCGGUAAUACGUAGGGAGCAAGCGUUGUGCGGAAUUAUGGGGCGUAAAGUGUGCGUAGGCUGCCCUUUAAGUCAGAUGUGAAAGCCCACGGCUUAACCGUGGGACUGCAUUUGAAACUGGAGGGCUUGAGUGUCGGAGAGGGCAGUGGAAUUCCCAGUGUAGCGGUGGAAUGCGUAGAUAUUGGGAGGAACACCAGUGGCGAAGGCGACUGCCUGGACGAUAACUGACGCUGAGGCACGAAAGCUAGGGGAGCAAACA
rnacentral:rRNA from 1 species